rnacentral:lncRNA from 1 species
ACGGACUUGGUGGGCAGUUAGCAUUACGCUCAGUGUGGAGAGAGAAGGCCGAUGGACUUGGAACGCCAUUAGCUGUGGGAGAAGCUUGAUCUUGAUCUCGAGCACCCAUACUAUCCGCUACAUCCACACCACUUUUGUCUCGCAAUUCACUCUUUCUGAAGGUAUGGGAAGAGAGGUCUUUUUUGUCAAAGCGUAGAACCAGU